UACGUAGGGCGCGAGCGUUGUCCGGAAUUAUUGGGCGUAAAGAGCUCGUAGGCGGCCUGUCGCGUCAAUUGUGAAAGCCCGGGACUCAACCCCGGGUCUGCAGUCGAUACGGGCAGGCUAGAGUGCGGUAGGGGAGAUCGGAAUUCCUGGUGUAGCGGUGAAAUGCGCAGAUAUCAGGAGGAACACCGGUGGCGAAGGCGGAUCUCUGGGCCGACACUGACGCUGAGGAGCGAAAGCGUGGGGAGCGAACAGG
rnacentral:rRNA from 1 species